UACGUAGGGGGCAAGCGUUGUCCGGAAUCAUUGGGCGUAAAGAGCGUGUAGGCGGCCCGAUAAGUCCGCUGUGAAAGUCCAGGGCUCAACCCUGGGAUGCCGGUGGAUACUGUCGGGCUCGAGUCCGGAAGAGGAGUGUGGAAUUCCUGGUGUAGCGGUGAAAUGCGCAGAUAUCAGGAGGAACACCAAUGGCGAAGGCAGCACUCUGGGACGUGACUGACGCUGAGACGCAAAAGCGUGGGGAGCAAACAGG
rnacentral:rRNA from 1 species